UCUAGCAUCCCUAGUAUUAGAGGCACUACUGCCCAGUGACACAUGUUCAACGGCCGCGGUACCCUGACCGUGCAAAGGUAGCAUAAUCACUUGUUCUCUAAAUAAGGACUUGUAUGAAUGGCCACACGAGGGUUUAACUGUCUCUUACUUUUAAUCAGUGAAAUUGACCUAUCCGUGAAGAGGCGGAUAUGCCUAAAUAAGACGAGAAGACCCUAUGGAGCUUCAAUUUAAUGGUACAAGCCUCAGCCCUUCAAACCAACAGGCAAUAAUCUGUAAUAAAUGUACCAUAAAUUUUGGUUGGGGUGACCUCGGAGUACAACAUAGCCCCCGAAAAACACAUACUAAGACUUCACCAGUCUAAGUAAAAAUAAAUCUAUUGACCCAAUAACUUGAUCAACGGACUAAGUUACCCUAGGGAUAACAGCGCAAUCCUAUUCUAGAGUCCAUAUCGACAAUAGGGUUUACGACCUCGAUGUUGGAUCAAGACAUCCUAAUGGUGCAGACGCUAUUAAGGGUUCGUUUGUUC
rnacentral:rRNA from 1 species